UACGGAGGGUGCGAGCGUUGUCCGGAAUCACUGGGCGUAAAGGGCGCGUAGGCGGCCUGAUAAGUAGGGGGUGAAAUCCUGCGGCUUAACCGCAGGGCUGCCUUCUAAACUGUCAGGCUAGAGCACAGUAGAGGCAGGUGGAAUUCCCGGUGUAGCGGUGGAAUGCGUAGAGAUCGGGAGGAACACCCGUGGCGAAGGCGGCCACCUGGGCCGACCCUGACGCUGAGGCGCGAAGGCGUGGGGAGCGAACGGG
rnacentral:rRNA from 1 species